rnacentral:rRNA from 1 species
UCGGGAAUUUUGGGCAAUGGGCGAAAGCCUGACCCAGCAACGCCGCGUGAAGGAUGAAGUAUUUCGGUAUGUAAACUUCGAAAGAAUAGGAAGAAUAAAUGACGGUACUAUUUAUAAGGUCCGGCUAACUACGUGCCAGCAGCCGCGGUAAUACGUAGGGACCAAGCGUUGUUCGGAUUUACUGGGCGUAAAGGGUGCGUAGGCGGUCAGAUGUGUUAGGUGUGAAAGCCUGGGGCUUAACUCCAGAAUUGCGCCUAAAACUAUCUGACUCGAGCCUCGGAGAGGCAAGCGGAAUUCCUAGUGUAGCAGUGAAAUGCGUAGAUAUUAGGAGGAACACCGAAGGCGAAGGCAGCUUGCUGGACGAGAUCUGACGCUGAAGCACGAAAGCGUGGGGAGCAAAAGGGAUUAGAUACCCACGUAGUCCCUGAGCGGGCUGGCAAGGCGCAU